rnacentral:rRNA from 1 species
AUUGAACGCUGGCGGCAGGCCUAACACAUGCAAGUCGAACGAGUGGCGGACGGGUGAGUAAUGUCUGGGAAACUGCCUGAUGGAGGGGGAUAACUACUGGCAACGGUGGCUAAUACCGCAUACCAUAAGAUGUGCCCAGCUGGGAUUAGCUUGUUGGUGGGGUAACGCCUCCCCAAGGCGACGAUGCCUAGCUGGUGUGCGAGGAUGACCAGCCACCCUGGAAGUGAGACACGGUCCAGACUCCUACGGGAGGCAGCAGUGGGGCAUAUGGCACAAUGGGCGCAAGCCUGAUGCAGCCAUGCCGCGUGUAUGAAGAAGGCCUUCGGGUUGUAAAGUACUUUCAGCGGGGAGGCGUUACCCGCAGAAGAAGCACCGGCUAACUCCGUGCCAGCCGCCGCGGUAAUAC